AUCCUUUAAAGGAGGAGUGUGAGAAUGCGCAGGCAUAGCUGAACUCCUGAAAAUGCAAGGGUUUCUCAAAGGACUCUGAACCGUCUACUUGUCUUGCACUGCCUGAGGCAAAAACAGAAUUUUCUGCCCUUUGGGGACACCUAAAAUCUGCCGCCUCAUCAUUAUGCUUAAUGGUAACCUAGUAGAAAACAUGCUUAAAGAUGAAAUUAGAACAAGAGUCGCUGAUGAAGGAUUGGCCUGACUUCUUCAAAAGCAAGUCCUCCCUUACCAACCUGCUGAAGUUCUUUAACAGCGUUACCAAGCUAGUGGACAGAGCUGAUCUGACAUCUCCACAACUGUGACCACCCUCUGGUGAAGACAAACACCAAUCAACAUCCAUAAACUGAGGAUUUUCAUGUGCUGAAUACCACCCCUUCCCAUUUUUAUAGUACCAGCCAGGCAACAAACCUGCUCCAGAUGGGCUACCACAUGUGAUAUUUUCCACUGGAUUCUCUGAAGCAAGCAUAUUUUGUUUUAAAAUAAAUGGCAAUUGAAGU